GCUAUCGUUGGAUGAACAGUAUAAGGCCUUAAGUGUUGGGACGAUUUUGCCUCUUAUUUCUAGUCUCUUCAACUGUUUUGCCCCUCCAUGGCUUGGUUGCGUGGCUUGCAGAGUGGAUCUUCUCGCUGUUUGGGAGAGAGAGAGAGAGAGAGAGAGAGAAGAUGGAGAUUCUGGGUUGCGCAUCUUCCAGCUCCGGUGACGACUAAUUGAAUUUCUUGGUGGAGUCGUAUUUGCGCAUAAUUGGAGAGCCAAAGCUUUAGUCUGUAUUUCGUCAGGUCAUUUGCUGGGUUUUGGGGGAAUAUGGAACUGCUAAUGGAAAGCAUUCUGCUUCAUAUAUCACUGGAGAGAAGGGAAAUUGUAUAGUUAAUGAACAAUUGGAAGGAAUAUGUUCAAGCCAUGAGAAUCUCGCCUGUCUUUCCUGAGAACCGUUUAAAAAUUGGUCAAGAGCUUACCAGGGGUCUUGGUGCUGGUGGAAACCCAUGCCAGAUGUUGGUGUGAAUGCUGUCAAACAAAGCCUAAAAUCAUAGAAGAAGCACUAUAUGGGUCAGACAUGGUAUUCGUUAUGGCUAGAAUGGGUGGAGGAAUUCACAUUGGUGUUGCUCCGGUAGUUGCAGGUGUUGCAAAAUCAAUGGGAAACUUCAAGUAUCCUUUUCUGACUAUGGUUGUAAUGAGAUAAUUCGGAAUAUGAGGGUAUUACGUUUGGAUUUGAUUUUACAGCAUUUUAGAAUUUGAUCUCAGCUAUGUAAAGUCAUUGACAUUUUAAGAAUAUAUUGGCUGAUGAGAGGUUCAAAGAGAUUAUGAAUGAAUUACCAUCUCACAUUAGGUUAUAAACAUGAAUUCAGGAAAAAAAAAACAUAACCCCGCAGCAUUGAGUGGGCGAGUUGCCUAGUUACCUAUUUUAAACCUCUAAAUCCUUAUGAAUAGUAAUUUGCCCUGCUGCUUUGCCCAUAUUUUGCUCAUUACCCUUGCCACCUGUUGAUCUGUUGAGCCACCACCUAAUUACUUUGAGCGAUGGCGGGUCGCCCCUUCUCUGCUGCGCAGAAGAGACAGGAGCUGAAAGAGAGACGUUGUUUGCCUGGCAGAAAGAGAGUUGAAGAGGUGGAUUGAUAGAGGGCGACAUACGCAGAGGUUGUAUUCGUUUUGCCCAGGCGUUGUUGAGAUUGUUAUUCAUUUUGAAGCUUAUGGAUUUUCAGGGAGGAUGAGCAUAGUAUCAAAAGAAAUUGACUGAGGAAUGUGCAACCAAUAAUUUUCCUUAAUCUGUUUCAGUUUUUGCUAAAUUCUGUCAUUUCAAGUGUUUUCUGAAAUCUAACUCACUCAAUUUAAUGCCUUUUAUGUUAUUCUUUAGGUGAGACAGAGAUGAUUGUUCCUCUUCUUUGCUACAGAAAUUGAGCCGCUGGAGGUUUCAUUUGCAGUAGUUGUAAUUAUUUCUUAUAUCAAUGCUGUGAUUUGGUGUUGAAGCAUCUUUCAGUCAUGCAAAAACAAAGGGUUUUUUGUGGUUUAUUGGAUUCCCCACAAUCCAGGCUGAGGGACUUACAGUGGAGGUGAUACUUUAAACCGUGAAAAUAGGGUGUUACUUGAUCAUUGGACGUUGGAAAAGAUGAGGGAUGCUGAACGCCUCAAUGAGGGUGACAUUGUCUUUGCAUCUGUUAUGGCAACUCUUGGACUGCAAAUAUUGCUCGAGUCUGCUUGAGAACUGAUCUCAAAGAAAUGGAUGAUGGACAGGAGAAGUGGAUGACCGCUAUCAUGGUCUCUGUCACAGUAGUGAAGUUUCUCCACAUGGUCUACUGUCAAAGAUUUAAAAAUGAAAUUGUACGGGCAAGGUGAAUUUCAUUGAACCUUGAAGAUAACAGUAUUGACAAGGCAGGGUGAAUUAGUAGCUGGGCUAAAAUAUUGUCAAAAUUGGGAAAAAACCGAAAGAAUGCGGAAAGAGUCCACAUACUCUUUCGAUAAAUGAUCGCGUCAAUGAGCAUCUCUAAAAGGCUAAAUUUAAGUAUCAUGUUUUUAAGUUUGAUUUUAUAUUUUGGUUAAUUGUUGUAGUUAAACAUAUAUCAUACCCGCAACAUC